GCUUAGUAAGUAAAUUCGAAACUGGAAAUAUCUCAGUAUAAGAGACCCGAAUAAAAUUAUAAAGUGCGUUGAACAAAACAAGGGAACUAACACUCCAUGAGCAUGCGUUUUAUGUUUGAUUAAAGUUAAGAUAGUGUGAUAUGUUUAACUGGUUUAGAUGGAUUAGUUGUUGUUUUUUUGCAGCGUGUGUUUCUCCCUCAGGGGAACACGUGUUGCAGCCAAAGGAGAGCUGCGGGGCCUCCCUCGUGGGAAACUGAUGUAAUGUGAUGGAGUGUGGUUAGAGCUAACGCACUUUUAAUACUUGACAUCCAUGCUUAAAGAUGAUUAUAAAUCACAAUACAACUGGUGAAGUGGGAGGUAUGGAGGUGGGGGUGCAUUUCCCUCCUAUUUCUUGUGUGAGUGAGCGCCUCCAUUGCUGUGUGAUAAGAUAAAGGCUUAGCAUGUGAAUGAGAGGAGUCCCCACUAGCUGCUCAUUCACCUCAAGGUUCCUGUCAUAAAGUGAUUAAAGGCUCUUUGCUGUCUACUCAUC